GAUGAACGCUGGCGGCGUGCCUAAUACAUGCAAGUCGAGCGAACAGAUAAGGAGCUUGCUCCUUUGACGUUAGCGGCGGACGGGUGAGUAACACGUGGGUAACCUACCUAUAAGACUGGGAUAACUUCGGGAAACCGGAGCCAAUACCGGAUAAUAUUUCGAACCGCAUGGUUCGAUAGUGGAAGAUGGUUUUGCUAUCACUUAUAGAUGGACCCGCGCCGUAUUAGCUAGUUGGUAAGGUAACGGCUUACCAAGGCGACGAUACGUAGCCGACCUGAGAGGGUGAUCGGCCACACUGGAACUGAGACACGGUCCAGACUCCUACGGGAGGCAGCAGUAGGGAAUCUUCCGCAAUGGGCGAAAGCCUGACGGAGCAACGCCGCGUGAGUGAUGAAGGUCUUCGGAUCGUAAAACUCUGUUAUUAGGGAAGAAUAUACGUGUAAGUAACUGUGCACGUCUUGACGGUACCUAAUCAGAAAGCCACGGCUAACUACGUG
rnacentral:rRNA from 1 species